rnacentral:rRNA from 1 species
GGAUGCGAUCAUAUCAGCACUAAAGCACCGGAUCCCAUCAGAACUCCGAAGUUAAGCGUGCUUGGGCGAGAGUAGUACUAGGAUGGGUGACCUCUUGGGAAGUCCUUGUGUUGCAUUCC